UUUCCUCCGGGUGCUCCGGUUUCCCCCACAAGUCCAAAGACAUGCGCUAUAGGGGAAUUGGACAACCAAUGUCCAUGUCAAAAGAGCGUCUAUUCUUCAAGCUCUCUUUACUUACCUUGGUGAGGAUGAGGCAUGCCUGGUGAAAGAAUACAUGG